UAAGACAGAGGGGGCAAGCGUUGCUCGGAAUCACUGGGCGUAAAGGGCGCGUAGGCGGGAGGGCAAGGCGGUCGUGAAAUUCUCGGGCUCAACCCGAGGGGGUCGGCCGCGACUGCCGUUCUUGAGGGAGGCAGAGGGGUCUGGAAUUCCCGGUGUAGCGGUGAAAUGUGUAGAGAUCGGGAGGAACACCGGUGGCGAAGGCGGGACCCUGGGCCUCAACUGACGCUGAGGCGCGAAAGCGUGGGGAGCAAACGGGAUUAGAUACCCCGGUAGUCCACGCGGUAAACGAUGACGACUAGGUGUGGGGGGGUUCAGUCCCUUCCGUGCCGCAGCUAACGCAUUAAGUCGUCCGCCUGGGGAGUACGGCCGCAAGGUUGAAACUUAAAGGAAUUGACGG
rnacentral:rRNA from 1 species